GUAAGUGUCCUGCCUGCCUGGCCUCCAGGGGACGACUGAAGUGCAUUCACUGUGGUGUCUCAAGGAGACCCCAGGAGGCCAGAGCCCUGGUCCCUCACAGAAUCUCCUCCAUUUCUUCCUCCUGGGUCUCACUCUUCCUGCCUGCCUCACUUUGGCGUCACAUUGCACACAAACGGCCUUCACCCAAGUCCCUGUCGCAGUCAGGGUUUGCUUUUGGGACACCGAAGCCGGCCAGAGUGUGUGAUUAAUGCCAGCAGGAGUGGGGGUCCUGAGGAGAGAGAGCCAAGGCAGGGCCUCGGGGGCAGCCUCAGCCAGAUGGGACAGAGGCAGGAGGCUGACUGCACGCAGAGGCUGCGUGCCUGGCUGGCCCCCAGGUGCAGAAGGCAUAGUGGGCUGGUGCAGAGGAGGGCAGUGGGGCCUGCCUGGGAAGUCAGGGGCCACACAUGUGUGUGCCUCACAGCCUGUGUCCGGAGCCCUCUGUGUCUCUCCUUUUGCGAAUGUUGGUUGGUUCUGAGUACAAAAGGCAGAAGUGCCAGUCAGUCUGCUUGCAAGCCACGAGGCUGCCCAAGUCAUAGCCACUCCUCUGGCGUGCUGGACUCGGCUUAUCUGCAGAAACGACACCAUCCUGGAGUGUUUGCUCUGCACUGAAACUAGAAGUGCACUAAGUUCCCAGACAGGCCCUGGGCAGCCGGAACACAGGUGCAUGAAUUGGGUUCUACUGGCUACAUUACCAGCCAAGAUCCGGCAGCAGGAGCAGCAGCCACUCCUGUGGGAGCAGCCACUCAUUUCCUGUCCCAGUAGAAGGACCACGAGCCCAGAGGGUGGUGGCUCCUUUAGCACAGACCAUGGAGCAGCCACUGCUGGCUCUGUCUCGGGACACAUCCCUGCCCAGGGCCAGAGCCCCCUGCUCUCCGUGUGACCCACAGAGGACUCCCUAAGAGGACCCCCCACGUCCUCUUACCCCCGGCAUGGAGGGGCCUGCGGGGUCAGCCAAGGCCAAGUGGGCCCCGCACAGGCCUGGAGCUGUUUGUGGGAAGUGGCAGAGCCCUCGUGGGAAAGGCCUGCCUCAGGCGGCCUGAGGUCUGCCCACAGCACGGCCCUGGCUGUGUCUCCUGCGUGUCCCAGGCAGCUGCCACCCUUGAAGAAGUCCCUGCUCCCACCUGAGAGCUGGCCCGGAGCUGGAGCUGACCUCAGUGUCACCCCCGGGCCCUUUCCAUGGUGCCCAGCGACAGGCCUGGGGCCCUGGCAACAGCUGCCCCCUUGGUCACAUGGACCUAGUCACAGGCCUCCUCCGGAAAGGGAAGUAAAAGGGGCCAUCACCCUCUAGGGGGCGCAGUUCCCAGGCCUGGGGAAGUUGUGAGCCCCUCGUGGGUGGGGCUGCCUGGGCACGCCCUUUGGGGUCACCACUCUCCCUCGGUGGGGCCACAGGCCACAAGAUCAUGGCCCCUUUCCAGAAGAAGCCCCGAGGCCUGGGACCUCCUCCCCGCAUCAGCAGCAAGACCUCCCGAGCCCUGCCCUCCCCUCUGCUUCCCACUGCCAGGAAUUCCAAGGGGUUCUGAGGUGGACCGCACACGCACACACACACAAAGACAAAACAAGCAGCUUCCGGAGCCUUGGGAGACGCGGACUGGGGUCUCAGCCUCACCUGCUUCUCUACCUUCAGCUAACCCUGGCUGAGGGCUCAGCACUGUCAGCGUGACCUGACUCCUCAGGUGUGCUGUCAUCUUACCAUGAGCUGAGAGCCUCCUUGGAUGCCAUCAACAGCCACCUGCAGAGGACACAGGCCUCGCCUGCGGCCACACCUGCCCUUGCUGCCUGGCUGUGCAGUGGAGACCCCUGUGCCUCACCUCUGCAUCACAACACUCGGCAGGGCUGACACACUGGCAGCUCCGCGCCCAGGCCAGCUGAUUCCAUCAUUUGAAGAUGCCAUUUCUUCUGAGCCAGAGAUUUUAUGGCUCUAAGGAUUAGAAGCUGUUAUCCCAACCCACCCCGGAGCACUCUAUUCUGAGUUUAUGUACCGGGGAUUGAACUCAGGUCCUUUCGCUUGUGCAGCAGGCAACCAAACCACUGAGCUAAAUCCCCAGCCCAACACUUCGAUUUCUUGAUGGCCAUUUUUUCUGGGGUUUGAUUGUGUUAUGGCUUGUAUCUAGAUGUUCCCCCAAUCCCCCCCCCCCCCCGCCAUGCCCUCAGAAGUGUGGCUUUUUGAAUUUUACUGGACCUAGGG
ensembl:lncRNA